AUUGAACGCUGGCGGCAGGCCUAACACAUGCAAGUCGAGCGGAGCGGCGGACGGGUGCGUAAUGCCUAGGAAUCUGCCUGGUAGUGGUGGAUACCGUCCGCAACUGGGCGCUAAUACAGCAUCCUCUCACAUUCGCCUAGGCCGGAUUAGCUAGUGGGUGGGGUAAAGGCCUACCAAGGCGACGAUCCGUAACUGGUCUGAGAGGAUGAUCAGUCACACUGGAACUGAGACACGGUCCAGACUCCUACGGGAGGCAGCAGUGGGGAAUAUUGGACAAUGGGCGAAAGCCUGAUCCAGCCAUGCCGCGUGUGUGAAGAAGGUCUUCGGAUUGUAAAGCACUUUAAGUUGGAAGGCGUUACCAACAGAAUAAGCACCGGCUAACUUCGUGCCAGCAGCCGCGGUAAUAC
rnacentral:rRNA from 1 species